rnacentral:tRNA from 2 species
GGCGCGGUCGCCAAGUGGUAAGGCAACAGUCUGCAAAACUGUCAUCGCCGGUUCGAUUCCGGCCCGCGCCU